rnacentral:rRNA from 1 species
AGCGCGGCGCACGGCUCAGUAACAUGUGGUUAACCUACCCUCAGGACGGGGAUACCCUCGGGAAACUGAGGCUAAUCCCAGAUAGAUGAGGGAUCCUGGAAUGGUUCCUCAUCGAAAAGGCACGCAUAUCAUGCUAUGCGUGUCGCCUGAGGAUGGGACCGCAUCCUAUCAGGUAGUUGGUGGGGUAACGGCCCACCAAGCCUAUAACGGGUACGGGCCCUGAGAGGGGGAGCCCGGAGAUGGGUACUGAGACAAGGACCCAGGCCCUACGGGGCGCAGCAGGCGCGAAACCUCCGCAAUGCGCGAAAGCGCGACGGGGCCACCCCGAGUGCCAUCCGCUGAGGGUGGCUUUUCCCUAGUGUAGUAAGCUAGGGGAAUAAGCGGGGGGCAAGUCUGGUGUCAGCCGCCGCGGUAAUACCAGCUCCGCGAGUGGUCGGGACGAUUAUUGGGCCUAAAGCGUCCGUAGCCGGCCUAACAAGUCUCUGGUUAAAUCUCAAGGCUUAACCUUGAGAUCGCUGGAGAUACUGUUAGGCUAGGGGGCGGGAGAGGUUGAGGGUACUUCGCGGGUAGGGGCGAAAUCCUAUAAUCCGCGAAGGACCACCAGUGGCGAAGGCGCUCAACUGGAACGCGCCCGACGGUGAGGGACGAAAGCUAGGGGAGCAAAGGGGAUUAGAUACCCCCGUAGUCCUAGCCGUAAACGAUGCGGGCUAGUGGUUGGGUUGGCUUCGUGCCAACCCAGUGCCGCAGCGAAGGCGAUAAGCCC